UACAGAGGAUGCAAGCGUUAUCCGGAAUGAUUGGGCGUAAAGCGUCUGUAGGCGGCUUUUUAAGUCCGCCGUCAAAUCCCAGGGCUCAACUCUGGACAGGCGGUGGAAACUACCAAGCUGGAGUACGGUAGGGGCAGAGGGAAUUUCCGGUGGAGCGGUGAAAUGCGUAGAGAUUGGGAAGAACACCGGUGGCGAAAGCGCUCUGCUGGGCCGCAACUGACACUAAUGGACGAAAGCUAGGGGAGCGAAUGGG
rnacentral:rRNA from 1 species